GCCCUCGUAGCUUAAUGGUUAUGGCGCCAGACUUCUAAUCUGGAGGUUGCGAGUUCGAGUCUCGCCGUGGGUA